rnacentral:lncRNA from 1 species
GGAGAUUUGCUCGGUAAAGGCUAGUAAGGGAGAUGCUGCCAUGGAGUGAGGAGGACCCCAGGGACGGCAGAAUGAGGGAAAGA